UACGGAGGGUGCGAGCGUUAAUCGGAAUUACUGGGCGUAAAGCGCACGUAGGCGGUCAGGCAAGUCGGGUGUGAAAGCCCUGGGCUCAACCUGGGAAUUGCAUUCGAAACUAUCUGACUCGAGUAUGGGAGAGGGAAGCGGAAUUUCCGGUGUAGCGGUGAAAUGCGUAGAUAUCUGGAGGAACACCGGUGGCGAAGGCGGCAUCCUGGACCGAG
rnacentral:rRNA from 1 species